AUGGGUGAGAUGAUUAUUUCACAUAUAAUCAAAGCUGAACACAAUGUGCGAUUUUGUUUCUCUUAAGAAAAAUCAAGCAAAAAACCUCACUUAU